rnacentral:rRNA from 1 species
AAUCAACGCUGGCGGCGUGCCUAACACAUGCAAGUCGAACGCGAAAAGGGCUUCGGCCCUGAGUAGAGUGGCGUCCGGGUGAGUAACGCGUGGGUAAUCUACCCUCGGGUGGGGAAUAACUAGUCGAAAGAUUAGCUAAUACCGCAUAAUGCAGCGGCUCGACAUCGAGACAGUUGUUAAAGCAGAAAUGCGCCUGAGGAGGAGCCUGCGUCUGAUUAGCUAGUUGGUGAGGUAAUGGCUCACCAAGGCUGCGAUCAGUAGCUGGUCUGAGAGGACGGCCAGCCACAAUGGCACUGAGACACGGUCCAGACUCCUACGGGAGGCAGCAGUAGGGAAUAUUGGACAAUGGGGGCAACCCUGAUCCAGCCAUGCCGCGUGAGUGAAGAAGGCCCUCGGGUUGUAAAGCUCUUUUGUCCGGAAAGAAAGCAAUCGGUUAAUACCCGGUUGUUCUGACGGUACCGGAAGAAUAAGCACCGGCUAACUUCGUGCC